rnacentral:lncRNA from 1 species
GCAGAAUGAAUCAGUAACCCCCCAAACCAAAACUUCAGAAAGGAUAUAGGUGUAUAAAGUGUAUAGAUGUAUAAGUAAGCCGAUUUCACAAUCUUUCAAAGCCUACAGACAAGCAUCGAAAGUAGAGGUGCAUGCAUUUUAAUUGGAAUUGAGACAGCAUUCGCAGGAACAAAAAUGAAAAAGGAGGAGAUAGUUCCUGGGUUUGUAACUUCUGGCGGAGGAAGCGCGGUGAGAACUAUUUACUGUCUUCCAAUAACUAUUAUUCGUCUUGUUUCCAUCAGGGCUUUAUGCCAAGGAUAUCCUGGGACUGCAAGGGGCAGAGUCCUAGCUCUGUAAUUAAAUUCACUCAUACAACAAAAGAAAAAAAAAAGAAAGAAAGAAAAAGAGGCUAGAGGGCGCGGCUACGGGGGCGGGACUAGGCCUCUGCGUCCCGCCUAGACCAAGGAGGGGACGUCACCGCCCCGAACUUCCCGCAGCCUACAGCCCGCGCGCUGGGCGCGGGGAAAUGGGCGGGGGAAUGUGACGACACUUCCGGGGCGGGCGCACGUGGCACUUCCGGGCCGGCCCAACUUCCAGCCGCCAUUGGGGAGGCCGAGCUAGGUCCCCGCAGGCUCCUCGGGCAGGGUCUCGCUGCAGCCUCUGGACGCUGCGCAGAAUGGUUCAACUUCUCAUCUUUGUCCUAUUGUAAGCUGUUGUCUGUGUAUUGGUCAAAAGGCUAUGUAGAUUACCUGCCCUUUGAAGACCACUUUUAAGGUGUCUCAUAAGACAGCUGGUAAGUCUAGCAGGAGAAAGUACAUUAUGGCUUGUUUCUUCUCCACUCUUGAAGCAUUUGUCUAGGGUUUAUAGUAUUUUUGCCUUAGCAUUUCUAUGUAUGUGCUGUUUGUUUGCUUGUAAUACUUUGUAUUUUUUCA